CAGCCGCCGCGGGAACACGAAGGGUGCAAGCGUUACUCGGAAUUACUGGGCGUAAAGCGUGCGUAGGUGGUGGUUUAAGUCCGUUGUGAAAGCCCUGGGCUCAACCUGGGAAUUGCAGUGGAUACUGGGUCACUAGAGUGUGGUAGAGGAUAGUGGAAUUUCCGGUGUAGCAGUGAAAUGCGUAGAGAUCGGAAGGAACAUCUGUGGCGAAGGCGACUAUCUGGGCCAACACUGACACUGAGGCACGAAAGCGUGGGGAGCAAACAGGAUUAGAUACCCCUGUAGUCCCUGUCUCUUAUAC
rnacentral:rRNA from 1 species